AGAGCGAACGCUGGCGGCAGGCCUAACACAUGCAAGUCGAGCGCCCGUAGCAAUACGGGAGCGGCAGACGGGAUAGUAACACGUGGGAACGCGCCCUUCGGUUCGGAAUAACUCAGGGAAACUUGAGCUAAUACCGGAUACGCCCUUACGGGGAAAGACUUAUUGCCGAAGGAACGGCCCGCGUCCGAUUAGCUAGUUGGUGAGGUAAUGGCUCACCAAGGCGACGAUCGGUAGCUGGUCUGAGAGGAUGACCAGCAUCACUGGGACUGAGACACGGCCCAGACUCCUACGGGAGGCAGCAGUGGGGAAUAUUGGACAAUGGGCGCAAGCCUGAUCCAGCCAUGCCGCGUGGAUGAUGAAGGCCUUAGGGUUGUAAAGUCCUUUUAACGGGGAAGAUAAUGACGGUACCCGUAGAAUAAGCCCCGGCUAACUUCGCGCCAGCAGCCGC
rnacentral:rRNA from 1 species